GCCGGACAAGAGGGAGG
rnacentral:miRNA from 1 species